rnacentral:rRNA from 1 species
UACGUAGGGUGCAAGCGUUAAUCGGAAUUACUGGGCGUAAAGCGUGCGCAGGCGGUUUUGUAAGACCGAUGUGAAAUCCCCGGGCUUAACCUGGGAACUGCAUUGGUGACUGCAAGGCUUGAGUGUGUCAGAGGGAGGUGGAAUUCCGCGUGUAGCAGUGAAAUGCGUAGAUAUGCGGAGGAACACCGAUGGCGAAGGCAGCCUCAUGGGAUAACACUGACGCUCAUGCACGAAAGCGUGGGGAGCAAGCAGG